rnacentral:rRNA from 1 species
CAGUAGCCACGGGAAUACAGAGGGUGCGAGCGUUAAUCGGAUUUACUGGGCGUAAAGCGUGCGUAGGCGGCUUUUUAAGUCGGAUGUGAAAUCCCUGAGCUUAACUUAGGAAUUGCAUUCGAUACUGGGAAGCUAGAGUAUGGGAGAGGAUGGUAGAAUUCCAGGUGUAGCGGUGAAAUGCGUAGAGAUCUGGAGGAAUACCGAUGGCGAAGGCAGCCAUCUGGCCUAAUACUGACGCUGAGGUACGAAAGCAUGGGGAGCAAACAGGAUUAGAGACCCCUGUAGUCCCUGUCUCUUAUAC